AUUGAACGCUGGCGGCAGGCCUAACACAUGCAAGUCGAGCGGAUGGAGGGAGCUUGCUCCUGGAUUCAGCGGCGGACGGGUGAGUAAUGCCUAGGAAUCUGCCUGGUAGUGGGGGAUAACGUCCGGAAACGGGCGCUAAUACCGCAUACGUCCUGAGGGAGAAAGUGGGGGAUCUUCGGACCUCACGCUAUCAGAUGAGCCUAGGUCGGAUUAGCUAGUUGGUGGGGUAAAGGCCUACCAAGGCGACGAUCCGUAACUGGUCUGAGAGGAUGAUCAGUCACACUGGAACUGAGACACGGUCCAGACUCCUACGGGAGGCAGCAGUGGGGAAUAUUGGAAAAUGGGCGAAAGCCUGAUCCAGCCAUGCCGCGUGGGUGAAGAAGGUCUGCGGAUUGUAAAGCACUUUAAGUUGGGAGGAAGGGCAGUAAGUUAAUACCUUGCUGUUUGGACGUGACCAACAGAAUAAGCACCGGAGAACUUCGU
rnacentral:rRNA from 1 species